GACGGAGGGUGCAAGCGUUGCUCGGAAUCAUUGGGCGUAAAGGGUGCGUAGGCGGCUUUUUAAGUCUGACGUGAAAGCCCAGGGCUUAGCCUUGGAAGUGCGCCAGAAACUGGAAGGCUAGAGUGCCGGAGGGGAGAGUGGAAUUCCUGGUGUAGCGGUGAAAUGCGUAGAUAUCAGGAGGAAUACCGGUGGCGAAAGCGACUCUCUGGACGGUAACUGACGCUGAGGCACGAAAGCGUGGGGAGCAAACAGGAUUAGAUACCCUGGUAGUCCACGCUGUAAACGAUGGGCACUAGGUGUCGGGGGUAUCCACUCCCUCGGUGCCGCCGCUAACGCAUUAAGUGCCCCGCCUGGGAAGUACGGCCGCAAGGUUAAA
rnacentral:rRNA from 1 species